rnacentral:rRNA from 1 species
AGCUCAAAUUUGAAAUCUGGCGCCUUCGGUGUCCGAGUUGUAAUUUGAAGAUUGUAACCUUGGGGUUGGCUCUUGUCUAUGUUUCUUGGAACAGGACGUCACAGAGGGUGAGAAUCCCGUGCGAUGAGAUGCCCAAUUCUAUGUAAGGUGCUUUCGAAGAGUCGAGUUGUUUGGGAAUGCAGCUCUAAGUGGGUGGUAAAUUCCAUCUAAAGCUAAAUAUUGGCGAGAGACCGAUAGCGAACAAGUACAGUGAUGGAAAGAUGAAAAGAACUUUGAAAAGAGAGUGAAAAAGUACGUGAAAUUGUUGAAAGGGAAGGGUUUGAGAUCAGACUCGAUAUUUUGUGAGCCUUGCCUUCGUGGCGGGGUGACCCGCAGCUUAUCGGGCCAGCAUCGGUUUGGGCGGUAGGAUAAUGGCGUAGGAAUGUGACUUUACUUCGGUGAAGUGUUAUAGCCUGCGUUGAUGCUGCCUGCCUAGACCGAGGACUGCGAUUUUAUCAAGGAUGCUGGCAUAAUGAUCCCAAACCGCCCGUCU